rnacentral:lncRNA from 1 species
CAGGUGUCACCUGUCCCAUCUCACCUGUCUCACCUGUCCCACCUGUGCAGGUGAAGUUCAUGAAGAGCAAGCUGGGUGUGGUCACUGUCCCUCACCUGUCCAUGCCCCUGUGUCCCUCACCUGUCCCAGGUGUCACCUGUCCUGUCCCACCUGUCCCAGUGUCCCUCACCUGUCCCAGUGUCCCUCACCUGUCCCUGUGUCCCUCACCCUGUCCCCUCACCUGUCCCAGGUGUCACCUGUCCCCAUCUCACCUGUCCCCUCUCACCUGCGCAGGUGAAGUUCAUGAAGAGCAAGCCGGGUGUGGUCACUGCCCCUCACCUGUCCAUGUCUCACCUGUCCCACCUGUCCCAGUGUCCCUCACCCUGUCCCUGUGUCCCUCACCUGUCCCCUCUCACCUGUGCAGGUGAAGUUCAUGAAGAACAAGCUGGGUGUGGUCACUGUCCCUCACCUGUCCCUGUCCCAGGUGUCACCUGUCCUGUCCCACUGUCCCUGUCCCCUCUCACCUGUCCAUGCCCCAGUGUCCCUCACCUGUCCCAGGUGUCACCUGUCCCCUCACCUAUCCCAGUGUCCCUCACCUGUCCCAGGUGUCACCUGUCCCCUCACCUAUCCCAGUGUCCCCUCACCUGUCCCAGGUGUCACCUGUCCCCUCACCUGUCCCCUCUCACCUGUGCAGGUGAAGUUCAUGAACAGCAAGCUGGGUGUGGUCACUGUCCCUCACCUGUCCCACCUGUCCCUGUGUCCCUCACCUGUCCCAGGUGUCACCUGUCCUGUCCCACCUGUCCCAGUGUCCUCACUUGUCCCUGUGUCCCUCACCUGUCCCAGGUGUCCCUCACCCUGUCCCCUCACCUGUCCCCUCACCUGUCCCUCACCUGUCCCAGGUGUCACCUGUCCCCUCUCACCUGUCUCACCUGCCCAGGUGAAGUUCAUGAAGAGCAAGCUGGGUGUGGUCACUGUCCCUCACCUGUCCCACCUGUCCCAGUGUCCCUCACCUGUCCCUGUCCCCUCACCUGUCCCAGUGUCCCCUGUCCCCUCACCUGUCCCCUCACCUGUCUCACCUGCCCAGGUGAAGUUCAUGAAGGGCAAGCUGGGUGUGGUCACUGCCCCUCACCUGUCCCACCUGUCCCAGUGUCCCUCACCUGUCCCAGGUGUCCCUGUCCCCAUCUCACCUGUCCCACCUGUCCCAGGUGAAGUUCAUGAAGAGCAAGCCGGGCGCUGCCAUGGUGGAGAUGGCCGAUGGCUACGCCGUGGACAGAGCCAUCACCCACCUCAACAACAACUUCAUGUUCGGCCAGAAGCUCAACGUCUGGUGCGCGUUUGGGGCAAUUUGGGGCAAUUUUGGGAAAUUUUGGGGAAUUUGGGGUCAUUUUGGGGGGU